AAAGAGGUGAGUCUCUCGCUCCAUCUCCACGGUGACAAGAGGAGUGUUUUCUCCAGACUUGGGCCGGUGCCUAUGCGAACGCCCUCUGCUGACCUCACAACCUUCCCGUCGAUCCCCUCCUCGUGGACGUCACGCAAGGCCACAGCUGCAUCCCAAGUCUGAGGAAAACAUCAGUUUGGGCUGGGGAAGGCUAGCUCUUUUUUUUUUUUUUAGAUCUUUGGAAAGCCCACUUUUUAGAGGCCGAAAACAGCUUUUUGCCUCAGAGUGCAGCGUUCGUGCCCUGUCACCCUGUGGCUGUUCUUCAUUAGAGGGAGGAGGAGGAUGAGGGGGAACACGAGGGCUGGAUCGAGUUUAUAUCUACAGCUGGGAGGUCAGCUUUCCUCUGGGACAAUGUGAGGAUAUGAGUGUUCGAUGACAAACUGUGAUAAGGGGCUAUGAGUGUAUGUGUGUGGGAGGCGUGGGGUAAUGGGUACAAGGGCAGCCAGGCUCGUUUUUUCUCACUCCCGGUUUGGCCACGAGUCUUCAAAAGCCUUCUGAUUUAAUUUAAGGUGUGAAAGUGCAAAGGAGAUCCCUUUCCUCUCCAUAGAUGCUUAGCUGAUAGAGUGAUGAUAAGAAUGAGCGCUUCCUCCGUGAGAAAGAUUAAGCUGCUAUUUUACUCAAUAAACAAACAAGCUGUGGGUGUUUUUCGGGUUGUUUUCUUGGAUGAUGCGCUUUUGUCGGGCCCCUAUUCUUAGGUCUGUCCAGUAACGUCCCCUCGCUCUUAAGCUCAAGCUCGUCUCACUGCGUCACGCGGAUGAUGAAUCAAAUUCAGUUUCCCAGCUGCCGCGUCAUUCGUUGUUUGGACACAAGCUGAAAACAAACCUACUCUGACUGUUUACGGGCUUUUUAAGGACUCGCCUUGAUCCUGGUUGACCUCAGGCCGCAGACUUCCAAACUGUUUACACUCCCUGCCUCUGUGGCUUCUGCACGCGCACACAGACUUUUGUCAGUCACGGUGCCGAAUAGCACUUGUGAAUUUUGAAUAAGCAGCUCUUACAGUAUGUACCGGCCCCGUUUCCUGUGCAAUCAGAGGAAACCAUGGGG
ensembl:lncRNA